ensembl:lncRNA
AUCGACUAAAUAUGGACAAACAUAAACUCGAACUCUUCCUGGCUCUGAGACUCGUGGAGGCUUUUUUAGAGGCGAUGGAAAAACAAGCAGAAAUUCUGGCAAAUCGGAAUGCUGCAUGUCGCCCUGAAAGUCCCAGGAGCUCUGCUGAAAGGAAAAGAUUAAUAAACCUUGCAAUAGAAAACUGCAAAGAUGAAACUGUCCUGCAGUGGCUGAGAGAAAAUUCAGAGUCUGGCACCUUCAGAAAACUCUCAGACAUGUUUGAUUUCCUGAAAAGUAAAAUUGAUGAAGAAGAAAAGAAGAACCACAGUGACACUGUUGACAUAAUCUUUGUGGCACAUGGAUCAAUCAGAGACUCCAUGAUCCCAGCCAGCUGUUUGCUGCCUCUGCCCACCAUCACUGACCUGGUCCUGUACUCUCCCUGGAACUGUGGCACCACUGGUGCUGUAACCUAUGGCAUUGCAACAGGAAAAAUGAGGCCACAGCACAGAGUUUUUUACCGUUCACUACCGUUUUUUCUCCACAGUAGAAUUCUUUUUGACAAAUAUCAACCCCUGAACCUGCCAGACUACUGGAACUCACUGAAGAAAGCUAAAGGACGGAACAUCCCAAACAUCAUUGUUAGCCCUCUGCAGCCAAAUGACGGUGUGUGGGAAACAUUUAAGUCUCUCUCAACAAAACAUGGUCCACCAGGAAGAAACCGCAUCGUCAUCCCGUUCAUCCUCCCAGAAGAGAGUGAAAGUGUCCCGUUCUCUGUCGUCGCCUUGGCUCUGUCCCUGGUGCUCCUCUCUUCCAGGUUUAAAGCCACCGUUCACCUUGAUACCUGUCUGAGUGAUAAGUCUACAGGACAGAAAUCUGACAGGAAGUAUCUGCAGGAGCAGUACUACUGCACUGAAGACAACACUGGGAUGACAUGUUCACCAGAUGCAUUCAGUGUGAACU